rnacentral:rRNA from 1 species
CACGUAGGGGGCAAGCGUUGUCCGGAUUUAUUGGGCGUAAAGAGCUCGUAGGCGGCUCAGUAAGUCAGGUGUGAAAACUCCAGGCUCAACCUGGAGACGCCACCUGAUACUGCUGUGGCUAGAGUCCGGUAGGGGAGCAUGGAAUUCCUGGUGUAGCGGUGAAAUGCGCAGAUAUCAGGAGGAACACCAGUGGCGAAGGCGGUGCUCUGGGCCGGAACUGACGCUGAGGAGCGAAAGCGUGGGUAGCAAACAGG